GGGGACGUAGCUUAGUGGUAAAGCCUACAAGAAGUAUUGGGCGGUGCUGGUCGGCACUGGGCCCUGUCCGGAUGAGACUUGUACAGACCAGCUUGGGAUUGUGGAUCGCUGGUUCGAAUCCAGCCGUCUCCA